rnacentral:rRNA from 1 species
GUCCUAUUGAUAAUAAUUUUAGGUCUAACCUGCUCGCUGAGUAAUUGAAGAGCCGCGGUAAUUUGACCGUGCAAAGGUAGCAUAAUAAUUAGUUUUUUAAUUGAAAGCUGGAAUGAAUGGUUGAAUAAGAAAAUUACUGUCUCUGUUAAAUUUUUUAGAAUUUUAUCUUUAAGUAAAAAAGCUUAAAUUUGGCUAAAAGACGAGAAGACCCUAUAGAGUUUAAUAAUUUUAUGUUUUUGGCUUUUUAGGAUUUUUUGGGUAAUAAACUAUAAUUUAUUUGGUUGGGGUGACUGAAAAAUUAGAGUAACUUUUUCUUUAUUUUUACAUUAAUUUAUGAAGAAUUUGAUCCAAAUUUUUUGAUUAUAAGAGUAAAUUACCUUAGGGAUAACAGCGUAAUUCUUUUUGAGAGUUCAAAUCGAAAAUGGAGUUUGCGA